rnacentral:rRNA from 1 species
UACGUAGGCAGCGAGCGUUGUUCGGAGUUACUGGGCGUAAAGGGUGUGUAGGCGGUUGUUUAAGUUUGGUGUGAAAUCUCCCGGCUCAACUGGGAGGGUGCGCCGAAUACUGAAUGACUUCGAGUGCGGGAGAGGAAAGUGGAAUUCCUGGUGUAGCAGUGAAAUGCGUAGAUAUCUGGAGGAACACCGGUGGCGAAGGCGACAUCCUGGACCAACACUGACGCUCAUGCACGAAAGCGUGGGGAGCAAACAGG